rnacentral:rRNA from 1 species
ACGGCUCAGUAACACGUCGAUAAUCUGCCCUUAAGUCUGGGAUAACCUUGGGAAACUGAGGCUAAAACCGGAUUGGAAAACAAAUCUGGAAUGAUUGUUUUCUGAAAGGUAACGCUUAAGGAUGGGUCGGCGGCGGAUUAGGCUGUUGGCGAGGUAACGGCUCACCAAACCAAAGAUCCGUAGGGGCUUUGAGAGAAGUAGCCCCGAGAAGGGCACUGAGACACAGGCCCUAGCCCUACGGGGUGCAGCAGGCGCGAAACCUUUGCAAUGCACGUAAGUGUGACAAGGGAACCCAGAGUGCUCAUACAUAGUAUGGGCUUUUACCAAGAGCAAAUAUCUUGGAGAAUAAGUGGUGGGAAAGACUGGUGCCAGCCGCCGCGGUAACCCCAGCGCCACUAGUGGGAAUCGCGUUUAUUGGGCCUAAAGCAUCCGUAGCUGGUUUUGUAAAUCUUUUGUGAAAUUGUCGGACUUAAUCCGACAGCGCGCAGGAGACACUGCAGAACUAGGGACUGGGAGGAGUCAGAGGUAUGCUAUGGGGAGCGGUAAAAUGCUAUAAUCCAUGGUAGACCACCUGUGGCGAAGGCGUCUGACUAGAACAGGUCCGACAGUGAGGGAUGAAAGCCAGGGGAGCAAACCGGAUUAGAUACGAGAAAUUUUCUAAAUUUCUGGAAUUAGCUUCGCAAAGUUGCUUAUAAAACUACAUUUGCAAGUGAAAUACAGAAAGUCAUUAAUGAUGAAGAUUUGCUCGCUAAUUACCCGAGUAGUCCUGGCUGUAAACCCUGCGAGCUAAGUGUCGCAUAAUCUUCGUGAUUGUGCGGUGUCGUAGUGAAGAUGAUAAGCUCGCCGCCUGGGAAGUACGGUCGCAAGACUGAAACUUAAAGGAAUUGGCGGGGGAGCAC